rnacentral:rRNA from 1 species
GUGCACCAGGCGCGAACCUUCGCAAUGCGGGAAACCGCGACGAGGGACUCCCAGUGCCUACGCUCAGCGUAGGCUGUUCCCGAGCCUAGAAAGCUCGGGGAGUAAGGGCUGGGUAAGACGGGUGCCAGCCGCCGCGGUAAUACCCGCAGCCCGAGUGGUGGCCACUAUUAUUGGGCCUAAAGCGUCCGUAGCCGGCCCGGUAAAUGCCUGGGGUAAAUCGUGAGGCCUAACCUCACGAAUUCCGGGUAGACUGCCGGGCUAGGGACCGGAGGAGGGAGAGGGUACUCCAGGGGUAGGGGUGAAAAUCCUGUGAUCCCUGGAGGACCACCGGUGGCGAAGGCGCUCUCCUAGGACGGGUCCGACGGUGAGGGACGAAAGCCAGGGGAGCGAACCGGAUUAGAUACCCCUGUAGU